AAUUACCCAAUCCUGACACAGGGAGGUAGUGACAAGAAAUAACAAUACAGGGCAAUUGUCUUGUAAUUGGAAUGAUGGUGACCUAAACCCUCACCAGAGUAACAAUUGGAGGGCAAGUCUGGUGCCAGCAGCCGCGGUAAUUCCAGCUCCAAUAGCGUAUAUUAAACUUGUUGCAGUUAAAAAGCUCGUAGUUGAAUUUUUGCGUGGUGUUAAUCAUGACUGAUGUUUUGAUUGCACUUCGCUUUUGGGAUUUAUCCCUUUUUACUUUGAGAAAAUUAGAGUGUUUCAAGCAGACUUUUGUCUUGAAUACUUCAGCAUGGAAUAAUAGAGUAGGACUUUGGUUCUAUUUUGUUGGUUUGUGAACCUUAGUAAUGGUUAAUAGGAACGGUUGGGGGCAUUCGUAUUUAA
rnacentral:rRNA from 1 species